rnacentral:rRNA from 1 species
UGGGGAAUAUUGGACAAUGGGCGCAAGCCUGAUCCAGCCAUGCCGCGUGAGUGAUGAAGGCCUUAGGGUUGUAAAGCUCUUUCGCCGGUGAAGAUAAUGACGGUAACCGGAGAAGAAGCCCCGGCUAACUUCGUGCCAGCAGCCGCGGUAAUACGAAGGGGGCUAGCGUUGCUCGGAAUCACUGGGCGUAAAGCGCACGUAGGCGGAUCGUUAAGUCAGGGGUGAAAUCCUGGAGCUCAACUCCAGAACUGCCCUUGAUACUGGCGAUCUCGAGUUCGAGAGAGGUUGGUGGAACUCCGAGUGUAGAGGUGAAAUUCGUAGAUAUUCGGAAGAACACCAGUGGCGAAGGCGGCCAACUGGCUCGAUACUGACGCUGAGGUGCGAAAGCGUGGGGAGCAAAACAGGAUUAGAUACCCCUGGUAGUCCACGCCGUAAAACGAUGGAUGCUAGCCGUUGGGGGGUUUACCUCUCAGUGGCGCAGCUAACGCCUUAAGCAUCCCGCCUGGGGAGUACGGUCGCAAGAUUAAAACUCAAAGGAAUUGACGGGGUCAUAGCUG